AUUGAACGCUGGCGGCAGGCCUAACACAUGCAAGUCGAGCGGCAGCGGGAAGUAGCUUGCUACUUUGCCGGCGAGCGGCGGACGGGUGAGUAAUGUCUGGGAAACUGCCUGAUGGAGGGGGAUAACUACUGGAAACGGUAGCUAAUACCGCAUAAUGUCGCAAGACCAAAGAGGGGGACCUUCGGGCCUCUUGCCAUCAGAUGUGCCCAGAUGGGAUUAGCUAGUAGGUGGGGUAACGGCUCACCUAGGCGACGAUCCCUAGCUGGUCUGAGAGGAUGACCAGCCACACUGGAACUGAGACACGGUCCAGACUCCUACGGGAGGCAGCAGUGGGGAAUAUUGCACAAUGGGCGCAAGCCUGAUGCAGCCAUGCCGCGUGUAUGAAGAAGGCCUUCGGGUUGUAAAGUACUUUCAGCGGGGAGGAAGGUGUUGAGGUUAAUAACCUCAGCAAUUGACGUUACCCGCGGAAGAAGCACCGGCUAACUCCGUGCCAGCAGCCGCCGUAA
rnacentral:rRNA from 1 species